rnacentral:rRNA from 1 species
AUUGAACGCUGGCGGCAUGCUUUACACAUGCAAGUCGAACGGCAGCGCGGGGGCAACCCUGGCGGCGAGUGGCGAACGGGUGAGUAAUGCAUCGGAACGUAUCCUGUAAUGGGGGGAUAACGUAGCGAAAGUUACGCUAAUACCGCAUACGCUCGAGAGAGGAAAGUGGGGGAUCGCAAGACCUCACGUUAUAGGAGCGGCCGAUGUCCGAUUAGCUAGUUGGUGGGGUAAAGGCCUACCAAGGCGACGAUCGGUAGCUGGUCUGAGAGGAUGAUCAGCCACACUGGGACUGAGACACGGCCCAGACUCCUACGGGAGCAGCAGUGGGGAAUUUUGGACAAUGGGCGAAAGCCUGAUCCAGCCAUGCCGCGUGCGGG